AUUUGCAACAUCAUCAUAGACCUGGAGAGGGCUUCCCUAGUGGCUCAAACGGUUGAGAAUCCGCCUGCAAUGCAGGAGACCUGGGUUCGAUCCUGGGGUCAAGAAGAUCCCCUGGAGAAGGGCAUGACAACCCAUUCCAGUGUUCUUGCCUGGAGAAUCCCAUGGACAGAGGAGCCUGGCGGGCUACAGUCCAUAGGAUUGCAAAGAAUCAGACACGACUGAAGCAACUUAGCAUGCAUACAUGCAUGGACUUGGAAAGGAUCAUGCUUAGUGAAAUAAGCUAGAUAAAAAGAAGACAAAUUCUGUAUGUUUUCACUGAAACAUGGAAUCCAAAAAAUUAGAUACUUCCCUGGUGGUCCAGUGGUUAAGGUUCCAUACUUCCACUGCAGGGGGUAUAAGUUGGAUCCCUGGCUGGGUGGGGAACUAAGAUCCCAUAUGCCAUAUUAUGUGAUAGAAAACAAAAUACAAUUCAAAAAACAAAACAAUGAAUUUUUAAAAAAGAAGCCCCUGGUGCUGUGUAAAGUUCAUACUCCUGGUCCCACUGCUGAGUACUCCAUGAAGCACCAGGUGAACUGUGCUUCCAAUAAGAGCCUCAGUGAUUCUCAAGCUCGGAGAAGUAGGGAAACCCUGGUUUAAGGCGGGUCACAGCUGAGAAAGAAUGAACUUUCCCUCACCUUGACCAAACCGUCAACAGGUGAAGCUAAAUGGAAACCACCACCAUCAACAAGCAGGGGAAAAAACCUAUGCGAUUUCCUAGUGUUUUCCACAAGUACAUGACCCUUAACCACCAUAUAGCAAGGGUUUGUCACCAGGAUCUCCCUUAAAGAGCUUUCUCAGCACCCCCAGGAUCUUAUAUCAUUGGAUGAAUUGGGAGAAAACUGAGCUAAUGAGUGAAAUGGCCCUCCACAGAGUCCAUGUUGUUAUCCAAUCAACAUCUGUCUCCUAUAAAAGAAACUCAAAGAGCCGUGUUGGAUGUCUCAUCUUGAAAGGAGUUUGACGUUUCUACUUGUUCAAGAGCUGCAUUGCAAGCCAGACAAGAUUCAUUAUGAUCUCAUCACCUCGAGUUUAUGGUCAGUCAAACUGGUUUCCAAGAAUAACUCACAUCAAGUGUUCAUAUCAAUUAUACAAACAAUUCUUUUUGUUCUUUGCUGUAUUCAUCGUUUUGCUUUUUGGAAUUGCCAUGGCAGCUUUCCCUCUGGAUCGCAAGACGUUACUCCUGGUAAUCACAAUAAUUAUUACUGCCAUCGUUUUUCUCAUCAUUACUGGAGUGCUCAUUUUUUAUGAAGUCUGCCGAAAGCUGGAGGAAUUUAUCCCUCCCCAAGUGGAAGAAUCAUGGAGGUAUAGAAUCGAACACAUUGAAAUUUAAGCUUCAGCAACAGAUUCCAAUCGUCAGCACCUGACUAUCAUCUUAUCUGAAAUCUGAACCUCCUUGGGACUUUGAACCUUUUUAGUCGUUUGAGCAUUUUAAAAGGAAUAAACGUUGACUUUUUAAAAGGUUAUGAUUUUGGAAAGUUCUUGUUCCCUAUUGCCUCUGUGAAAUCUCUUCCUGGGGAAAGCCCUUUUUUCCCCUCAAAUAUGUGACAGACAAAUAUACCAGUGUUCUCCCACCUGUUUUUAUUUAUUUUUGGCUGUACUGGGUCUUCGAUGGUUUGUGUGGGCUUUCUAUAGUUGCGGGGAGCAGGGGCUACUCUUCGCUGUAGUGCAUGGGUGUCUCACUGCGGUGGGGUCUCUUGCUGCGGAGCGCGGGCUCCAGGGUGCUUGGGCUUCAGUAUUUGCAGCUCUCAAGCUCAGUUGCUCUGUCGCAUGUGGGAUCUUCCCUGAGCAGGGACUGAACCUGUGUCCCCUACAUUGGGAGGCAGAUUACUAUCCUCUGCACCACCAGGGAAGUCCUUCCUCCAAGAAAUUUUUGCUUGUACCAACUUCUUGCUCUCUUCGUCCCAUCACUUACAACCUACCUCUUACUCUGGCUUUUCAUAUCAGCUCCUGCUAAUUUUAUCAUGUACGGAGGUGACCCACUGAAGACUCCAGGUUCCCAACUCAUGACUCCUCACUUGCAAUGUCCCAGUCUUAUCUCCGCUAUUGAAGUGGAGCAGGACCCUAUGGCCCUUGCCCUGCAUGUCCUCAGCCUGCCUUUUGUGUGUGAAAAAAACUUGAGCCAAAGAAUAACUUUAAUCAGAGGGAGAAAAGGCGGAAGCUAAGAACAGCAGUCAAAUAGGACAAAACAAUAGUCAGUAAGCAAAGUCAAGGACCUUUAGAUCCUUCUCAAGGAUUAUAGAUAAUAUUCUGAGCCAUAUCCUGUGGGCUGUGUUGUAGAGACCAAACCCCUCACCAGGUGGAAGAAAUUAAUGACAUGAUUAUCGGACUGUAGCCAAGACAUAAGCUGCCACAAUUCCAAGAAUUUUCCCCAAAGAAAUGAAAACAAAUCAACCCUGGAACACACACACAAUGUCACAUGACCUUAUUUUACUGUUCCUAAAACUGACAUCAAAACCAUUUUCAAAAAUGGUUUUGUGCACUUAAAAACUUAAGAGAGUAGAUCUCAUGUUGUAUUCUUACAAAAAAAAAAAGCCAAGAAGCACAAUAAAUGGUUUGGAGGUGAAGGAUAUAUUUAUUACCUUGAUUUUGAUCAUGAUACCAUAGGUAUAGGUAUAUGUCCAAACACAUCAAAAUGUAUAUAUCAAAUAGGUAUGAUUUUUUAAUAUAGUAAGUAUGCCUCAAAAAACUAAACACAGUGGAAGCCAUUGUUAAUGGGAAUUGGUUCUGGGUGGUGGAAUACUUCUAUUUGGAUCUUUCUUAUUUUUUUCAAAGUCUCCCAAAG
ensembl:lncRNA